UACAGAGGGUGCGAGCGUUGUCCGGAAUUAUUGGGCGUAAAGGCUCGUAGGCGGCCAACUAAGUCGGAUGUGAAAUCCCCAGGCUUAACCUGGGAACUGCAUCUGAUACUGGAUGGCUUGAAUCCGGGAGAGGGAUGCAGAAUUCCAGGGUGUAGCGGUGAAAUGCGUAGAUAUCUGGAGGAAUACCGGUGGCGAAGGCGGCAUCCUGGACCGGCAUUGACGCUGAUGAGCGAAAGCCAGGGGAGCAACGGG
rnacentral:rRNA from 1 species